CAACUUGGCUAGAACCGAACCAGACAUUAACCAGAUGGAGUGAGACUUUGACAAUGGACAAGGAGCGUCCAAGCGCUUGAAUUUGGGGAGAAUGAGAACCUUGAGCUGUGUUUUAAAACUCAAGAAUCCAGCAGGUACUCAGGUGUUGAGGGGGUCGUCACAAUAUGAAGCCAACCAGACGAUGGGUAGCUUGCUCACAGGUGUGAGAGCAACCAUUUCAGCGCCAUUGCUCCAACCCUUUUCCUGAGGAAGCAGAAGAACCAGUGUUGCAGUGUUGGGUUCUGAGGAUGACGCCACGUGAAUCAUUCACUUCAACUGGCUGGUGCUCAUGUCCUGAGCCGGCGGCGGACCCUUCAGGGCGACGGCGCUCCAGCUCCUCCACAUUCCACAGUCGGGAAAGC